rnacentral:rRNA from 1 species
GUACCAGACUCCUACGGGAGGCAGCAGUGGGGAAUAUUGCACAAUGGGGGGAACCCUGAUGCAGCGACGCCGCGUGGGUGAAGGAGUAUUUCGGUAUGUAAAGCCCUAUCGGCAGGGAAGAAGCAAGACGGUACCUGACUAAGAAGCCCCGGCUAACUACGUGCCAGCAGCCGCGGUAAUACGUAGGGGGCGAGCGUUAUCCGGAUUCACUGGGGGUAAAGGGAGCGUAGACGGCAGUGCAAGUCUGGAGUGAAAGGCGGGGGCUCAACCCCCGGACUGCUCUGGAAACUGUACGGCUGGAGUGCAGGAGAGGUAAGUGGAAUUCCUAGUGUAGCGGUGAAAUGCGUAGAUAUUAGGAGGAACACCAGUGGCGAAGGCGGCUUACUGGACUGUAACUGACGUUGAGGCUCGAAAGCGUGGGGAGCAAGCAGGAUUAGAUACCCUUGUAA